ACAACAGUUGGAAACGACUGCUAAUACUCUAUACUCCUGCUUAACACAAGUUGAGUAGGGAAAGUUUUUCGGUGUAGGAUGAGACUAUAUAGUAUCAGCUAGUUGGUAAGGUAAUGGCUUACCAAGGCUAUGACGCUUAACUGGUCUGAGAGGAUGAUCAGUCACACUGGAACUGAGACACGGUCCAGACUCCUACGGGAGGCAGCAGUAGGGAAUAUUGCGCAAUGGGGGAAACCCUGACGCAGCAACGCCGCGUGGAGGAUGACACUUUUCGGAGCGUAAACUCCUUUUCUUAGGGAAGAAUUCUGACGGUACCUAAGGAAUAAGCACCGGCUAACUCCGUGCCAGCAGCCGCGGUAAUACGGAGGGUGCAAGCGUUACUCGGAAUCACUGGGCGUAAAGGGCGCGUAGGCGGAUUAUCAAGUCUCUUGUGAAAUCUAAUGGCUUAACCAUUAAACUGCUUGGGAAACUGAUAGUCUAGAGUGAGGGAGAGGCAGAUGGAAUUGGUGGUGUAGGGGUAAAAUCCGUAGAUAUCACCAAGAAUACCCAUUGCGAAGGCGAUCUGCUGGAACUCAACUGACGCUAAGGCGCGAAAGCGUGGGGAGCAAACAGGAUUAGAUACCCUGGUAGUCCACGCCCUAAACGAUGUACACUAGUUGUUGGGGUGCUAGUCAUCUCAGUAAUGCAGCUAACGCAUUAAGUGUACCGCCUGGGGAGUACGGUCGCAAGAUUAAAACUCAAAGGAAUAGACGGGGACCCGCACAAGCGGUGGAGCAUGUGGUUUAAUUCGAAGAUACGCGAAGAACCUUACCUGGGCUUGAUAUCCUAAGAACCUUAUAGAGAUAUGAGGGUGCUAGCUUGCUAGAACUUAGAGACAGGUGCUGCACGGCUGUCGUCAGCUCGUGUCGUGAGAUGUUGGGUUAAGUCCCGCAACGAGCGCAACCCACGUAUUUAGUUGCUAACGGUUCGGCCGAGCACUCUAAAUAGACUGCCUUCGUAAGGAGGAGGAAGGUGUGGACGACGUCAAGUCAUCAUGGCCCUUAUGCCCAGGGCGACACACGUGCUACAAUGGCAUAUACAAUGAGACGCAAUACCGCGAGGUGGAGCAAAUCUAUAAAAUAUGUCCCAGUUCGGAUUGUUCUCUGCAACUCGAGAGCAUGAAGCCGGAAUCGCUAGUAAUCGUAGAUCAGCCAUGCUACGGUGAAUACGUUCCCGGGUCUUGUACUCACCGCCCGUCACACCAUGGGAGUUGAUUUCACUCGAAGCCGGAAUACUAAACUAGUUACCGUCCACAGUGGAAUCAGCGACUGGGGUGAAGUCGUAACAAGGUAACCGUAGGAGAACCUGCGGUUGGAUCACCUCCUUUCUA
rnacentral:rRNA from 1 species